rnacentral:rRNA from 1 species
AAAAACAUGGCCUUUUGAGUAUAAUUUAAGGUCUGACCUGCUCAAUGAAUUUUAAAUAGCCGCAGUAUCUUGACUGUGCAAAGGUAGCAUAAUCAUUAGUUUCUUAAUUAGAAGCUGGAAUGAAGGGUUGAAUGAGAAAAUUUCUGUCUCUAUAAAAAUUUUAUAGAACUUUAUUUUUAAGUAAAAAAGCUUAAAUUUUAAUAAAAGACGAGAAGACCCUAUAGAGUUUUAUAUUUAGAAAUUAUAAUUUUUUUAGUAUUUUAAAGUUUAUUUUUUUAAAAUAUUUAGUUGGGGUGAUUGGAAAAUUUAAUAAACUUUUCUUAAUAAAUACAUUUAUUUAUGAAAAUAUGAACCUUUUUUUGGAUUAUAAGAUAAAAUUACCUUAGGGAUAACAGCGUAAUUUUUUUUGAGAGUUCUUAUCGAAAAAAAAGAUUGCGACCUCGAUGUUGGAUUAAAAUAAAUAUUUGGUGUAGAAGCUAAAUUAAUUAGGUCUGUUCGACCUUUAAAAUUUUACUUGAUCUGAGUU